CAAUAGCGUAUAUUUAAGUUGUUGCAGUUAAAAAGCUCGUAGUUGGAUUUCGGUUAAGAGCGACCGGUCCGCCGUUUGGUGUGCACUGGUUGGUUUUAACUUCCUGUAGAGGACGUGCUCUGGGUUUAACGACCUGGACUCGGAGUCUACGUGGUUACUUUGAAAAAAUUAGAGUGUUCAAAGCGGGCUUACGCUUGAAUAUUUCAGCAUGGAAUAACACUAUAGGACUCCUGUCCUAUUUCGUUGGUCUCGGGACGCGAGUAAUGAUUAAGAGGAACAGUUGGGGGCAUUCGUAUUUCAUUGUCAGAGGUGAAAUUCUUGGAUUUAUGAAAGACGAACUUCUGCGAAAGCAUUUGCCAAGGAUGUUUUCAUUA
rnacentral:rRNA from 1 species